GAACGAGUUGUUGAGAUAGUUGAGAUGUAAAGAAAAGGAGAGAAGCUGCCGCCUGGCACCCAAAAUCCUAAACGUAUAAUGAGUGGACCUGAAGGAGGAAAUACCACUUUGUUAACCGAUCCAAAACCUACCCCUUGCCGAGAUCUCGAUGCCUGCUAAAACGUAUGCUAAGGUUGGUGUUUCCAGGCUUCUCUGGGUUUCUUAUUCUUGUUGAAUUUUGUCAAGCUCAAGCAGCCAUUGUUUGUGUUUCUUUUUUCUUUUCCCAAUACGAAAUCUGGUGGAUAUUCCACUGAAUUUUAACUCGGAAUAAGUUUCUAGAUAAGUAAUGAGUCUUUGUACCGGAUGAUUGACGGUAAUGUUCGGCAUAGUUUUUUUUUGUACGGAAGCAAAAGCCAUAACUGUGGCAUUGGAAUACCUUGAUGUUUUUUGUUCUUCAAGUUCAUAGAAAUUAGAAUAGUAUCUUAU